ACACGACAAUUUCUUUCACACACAUUUCACUUUAUCACGAGUAAAAUGUAUCAGCGUGCUGAAAUCUGCUUGCCAAGAAAGAAGAAGGUCCGCGAGUCUUUCCACUCAAACACAUACAGGAUAUUUGAUGAGAAGAUACCUGACAGAUUGGACCCUGAUAAAGUCUAUAAAGUCCAUUCAUAUGCUCAGAGAGAUCCAAAGGAAUAUGAUCAGCUUAAAAUACACAAUACCCCACAAAUGUACAAUGCCAAGUUCAUAAGAACCAAUGUCAGGUUCAUGAAUGCACCCAUUUCUCACAUGGAGACAGAGAGUACAAUGGCUGAGCAGACUUAUAACAGUGUCACUGGUGGCACAAUACAUCGUAUCACGAUGUGAGCACCCAGGCACCUUACAGAAAGGACAGCACUCAGAGACAAGACUACCAGGCCAUUCAACAAACGCACGCCCUGGUCAGACAUGGGAGGAACAACAACAGAGUGCCUGCUUCAGGAAUCGUUCCCAUGCUGAGCUCUAUUGGUAGCCCAAAAGUGUUGCUGGAGCACAUGUCUUUCAUUCACCAAUAUGAUUCAAGGAAAUUACAGGACCAACCAUACCAAGGGAUGCGACACGGAGCUUUAGUGUGGAGCGAGGCUGGGCCAUGGUCUCCUGAUGGGGAGAGCACAUACCUCAACGCCGAGGGGUCAUGUUCACCAGCGGUGCGGGGAAGAAGAGGGCGGGAAGAGGUAACCUCUCCCCAGCAGCAAGUUUUCAAUGAUGGCAGGAUCCACUCAGGGAAUGCGGGCCCCAGAGCUAAAGGCACCAAGGCCAUCUCCCGCCCCUCACCGACCCAUCCCUCCAGCCAACUGUUUCACAGCUUCUACACUCCCAUGACACGUAGGGGAGGGGUUGAGGGAGGGUUUGAGGGGAUCUCCUCAGUCUCUGACAGGGCUGCGGAGGGUCGGAGACCUAUGCAUGCAGACGGCGAGGGGACUGUCUUGCAAAGGCAGGGAUCCAACAGUCAACAGGUGGCGGUUCAAGCCCCAGCCCAAAUUGCAGGCUCAGAGCCUAACAACUGAUGGCAGAUCUGAGUAGAAAUCGGUUGCAAUUGUGUUACAUUUUUUGGUCAGAAGUCAUCUAAAGAUAAAGAUUAAAAUAAUAAAAGGUUCAACCUGCAAAAGUAACUGCUGUUAAAUGGUAUUUUCAAUUAAAGAAAAAUACAGUAUACGUUAUGUACAACUGUCAUACCCAGUUCUAAACCCAAAUCAGGGCCGGCGCUAAC